CUGCGCGGUGACCCACCCGACACUAUGCCCCGGCCAGGCGGCUGGGAUGGUCAGUUAUGACUGUGCAGCCGGGCCGUGAGGUUCCAAGACAGUCCAGGAAGCCUUCCUGGUUGGCGCAUGAGAGGAAGUCCUGGGGUUCCUGCGGAGCCUGGCGCUGACCAAGACUUGAGGGCAGGGCAAGGAAGGCUUACUAGCGAUGGAGAAAUGGGAAGGGAACACCAGCAGUGGAGGUGGAGAGGUGCACAAAAGUGAGGAAGCAGCUCUCCCUCGCGUGGCUCCGCCUCCAGCCCGGGCCCGAGCCUGAGCUGCGCCUUACUGCUCCUUCGCUCCGCCCUCAAGCCAAUCUCCGUCCCCAGAUCUCCUAUAUCCCCGCCUCUGGACCCGCCCCAGCCCAGUCGCCGGCCUGGCUCGCUCCGGCUCCAC
rnacentral:lncRNA from 1 species